UACGUAGGGAGCAAGCGUUGUCCGGAGUUAUUGGGCGGAAAGAGCUCGUAGGCGGCUUAGAAAGUCAGGUGUGAAACCUCCAGGCUCAACCUGGAGACGCCACUUGAUACUUCUAUGGCUUGAGUUCGGUAGGGGUAAGCGGAAUUCCUGGUGUAGCGGUGAAAUGCGCAGAUAUCAGGAGGAACACCGAUGGCGAAGGCAGCUUACUGGGCCGAUACUGACGCUGAGGAGCGAAAGCGUGGGGAGCGAACAGG
rnacentral:rRNA from 1 species